AUUUGGGUGAUUUCUCUGUAUGUUUUGUGGGACCGAAGGACUGUGGAGGGUUUUGUGUUUUAAGUAGGAAGGAUUUCAGUGUGAUUAUGUGUUGACAUAAAUGAAGAGAUAUAUGAUGGAAGAUUUUAAAUGUAGUUGUAGCCAAUUAUGUAGUUGUAGCCUAUUAUAAUAUAUAUAUAGGUACCUAUAUAUUAUUCAUGUUUUUUUUAAAUGUUAAAUUUAUUUACAAAACAUUUUUACGAAUACAAAAAACAUUCCAACAUCAACAUACCUGGCCGGCUUCAGGGUCCGAAUCCGGAAUCCUUGGGAGGUCGCUACUCCAUUGAAGUUUACAUGUAAAAGGGUUAGGGUUAGGGUAAGGUAAUUGUUAGGGUAAGGUUUAAGGUUAGGAACGUCCCAAGGAUUCCGGAUAGCACUGACCCUGGCUUCAGUCAAAGAAGAAGAAGAAGACCCUGGCUUCAGUCAGUGGAGCGUAGGUGAUGUGGACGGCUUCAUUGUGUUUGCGGAACACUCUCUGCCAAUGCGCACUACCACCACUAUCCCAUAACUACCCUCACUGGAAAUCCGAUCCGUCACAACGACGCGCAACGAAAAGAUAGCAAACAUGUCAGACAAGAAACAGACUGUGGAUUUGGGAUUAUUAGAGGAGGACGAUGAGUUUGAAGAAUUCCCAGCCGAGGAUUGGACGGGUCUGGAUGAGGAUGAAGAUGCCCACGUGUGGGAAGACAACUGGGAUGAUGACAACGUAGAGGACGACUUCUCUAAUCAACUCCGAGCGGAGCUGGAGAAACAUGGUUCCAAGAUGGAGACGUCGUAGUAGCUGCCUAGUGGACACAUCUAAUCCCAGCAGCUAUGGAUGGACUUUGAUGUUCUGAAUGUUAUAACUUCACACUUACGAUGGAGGAUGUUUAACUAAACUCGCUCCUUUUUUUUCCCCAAAAACCUUCACAUGCGUAAAGUGUUUGAAAAUGUCCCCCUUUGGAUGUUUUCAUUAUUCUACUGAUCACCAUUGAUUCAGAUAAUGUAAGAGUUAUGUAAACAUUAAAGGUGGUUCAAUUCACGUACCCGUUGACAUACUCUUUAUUUAUGCACAUUUUCCAUCUCUUUGGGCAUAAAACAGCUGGUCAGUUACAGUUUUAAUAUAAAUCCAUAUUUUCCAAUGUUUUGUUUUACUAUAAAGACCACUUUGUGUCCACGGCUUGGGUUUAACAUCCGUUUAAAUACCACUUUUUGUUAGAGCCAUUGAUUUGAAACGUAGCUUUACUGCCAGCGCAACACUUAACCUACGUUUUUAAUGGUCCAGUAAUUAUUGGACUGUGUGACACACUCCACAUCCAUUUUAAUCCACAAUAUGAAUGUUGCAUGAUGUUAGUAAGAGUCAAGUGCUGCACCACUCAUCUUUCCAUUGGGAUGCUCUUGGUUUGAAAACUACCACCCACUUUUCACAUGGUCACUCUCCCAUAGUAAACCAUUUAAAUGAGCAGGUGUGUGUCGGAGAGAGAGACUGGGUAGAGAUGCGCACACAGGGAGAUUUGCGAAGUUGUGUGUGCAGUGCAUAUUUGUCUGUGUCUAAAGUAUGACACACACACACUGCCAGCCACACAGUGAAGAGUUCCUCUCUGCUGUCUGUAUAACAGAACCCCUGCCUUCCCUCUGAGCCCAUGGGGUUGGGGCUGAGUCUCUGAAGGAGAGAUUAUCCACUGCCAUGUUUGUCAGGGGCAGGGAGGUGGUCUCAGCAUGGGGGCCCCCGGCCUGCCCUGCCUGGGCCUGCCCUACUCCCGACCAGGCCCUACUCUUCCGGCUCCGCACAGCAGGGACCCCCGCACUGAACCGGAGGCCAAUUUACC
rnacentral:lncRNA from 1 species